CAUUCAUUUUAAUAAGUGUUUACAAAAGUCUUCUGUGCCAGCAUCGUUGUAGGGGUGGGAGACACAGACAGGAAUAGAUGCUGCUCUCUCCUGAAGGGAACGAGCAGAUGUCAAUUAUCCAAAUCAUAAUUGACAACUAUGUAGAUAUAUUUGGCAAAGAUGACAAUAUCAUUUGCAAUGAUAAUCAAAAGAGGUCAGAUGACAUAAAGACUUCAGCAAAUACUGCUGCAGGGGACAGCUAAACAAUUACAACAUAUAACUUCC